rnacentral:rRNA from 1 species
GAUUCUGGCUCAGGAUGAACGCUAGCGGCAGGCUUAACACAUGCAAGUCGAGGGGCAUCGGGAGUAGCAAUACUGCCGGCGACCGGCGCAAGGGUGCGUAACGCGUGAGCAACAUGCCCGUAUCAGGGGGAUAAUCCAUGGAAACGUGGUCUAAUACCCCAUAGUAAUUAUGUAAGGCAUCUUAUAUAAUUUAAAGCUUUGGUGGAUACGGAUUGGCUCGCGUGACAUUAGCUGGAUGGUAAGGUAACGGCUUACCAUGGCUACGAUGUCUAGGGGUUCUGAGAGGAAGGUCCCCCACACUGGAACUGAGACACGGUCCAGACUCCUACGGGAGGCAGCAGUGAGGAAUAUUGGACAAUGGAUGGAAAUCUGAUCCAGCCAUGCCGCGUGCAGGAAGACGGCCCUAUGGGUUGUAAACUGCUUUUGUAUGGGAGCAAUAAGGGCUACGUGUAGUCCGAUGAGAGUACCAUACGAAUAAGCACCGGCUAACUCCGUGCCAGCAGCCGC